GGCCACCAAGUCCCCCAAGAAGGCUUAAGUGCUUUCUCCCAUUAUCAAAGCCAAUUUCUGUGCCUUAAAUCUUGUGUCUUUGUUGUAUGUAAUUUUAGUUUUAGAGAUGGGUUAUUUUGUUGUAGGGGAAAGUUGUUAGAAACAAUGUGUAAUUCCUUUGAUCUUUGCAAUACUAUGUUAGGAUUUGACCAUUUAAGAUUAAUGGAUGAAGCUCUUUCUUUUAAAACUAAAAUUACAUACAACAAAGACA
rnacentral:misc_RNA from 1 species